UACAGAGGGUGCGAGCGUUAAUCGGAGUUACUGGGCGUAAAGCGCGCGCAGGUGGUUCGUUGCGUCGUGCGUGAAAGACCCCGGCUCAACUGGGGAGGGUCGUGCGAUACGGGCGAACUGGAGGCCAGUAGGGGGAUGCGGAAUUCCGGGUGUAGUGGUGGAAUGCGUAGAGAUCCGGAGGAACACCAGCGGCGAAGGCGGCAUCCUGGACUGGUCCUGACACUCAGGAGCGAAAGCGUGGGGAGCGAACGGG
rnacentral:rRNA from 1 species